CAGUGUCCUUCCGCCUACUUGCAAAGUAAAGCAAGCAUGGCUUCAGGUGAUCAGGUAAGCGGUCAUAACUUAUUUCUAUAACUUUCAUCACUUCCACUUCAUUCUUCAAAAUAAAGGAAUGCAAAUUAUUUAAAACUUCAAGCCACACACUUUUUUUCUUUUCCCUCCCAGCAAUGACUCCAGAAAUCAGAUCAGCCACCAAAGGAAGCCCUUUACAAUUUUCGGCUAUUUCUUUUCCAACAUCCAAUAAUUCAUUAGGAAAACUCUCGUUUCCAAAAACCCUUUUCUCUAAUAACUCCCAACUUUCUUCUGAUCUUAGCAAUCGAAGGUUAAGAGGAGCAGUGUAGAGCUUUCCAUGCAAAGCCACUUCCUUUUCUCGAGUUGUCAAAAUAAUUCUACUUCCUUUCUUAGCUUUAGGAAAAGGUCUUGUUAACUCAUCCCAUGUAGUGGUAUCCCACACGUCAUCUAAGACAAUAAGAUACCUCUUUCCAUACAGUUGUUUCCGUAGCUUAUCAACAACAUCAAUAUUCUCACUCAAUUUUGAAUCUGAGUCACUAACUUGAUUGAAAAUUUUAUCCAACAACUUCUUCUCGUCAUAUCCUUGGUCGACCGUGCACCAUGCACGAAGGUCGAAAUGGCUAGAAACUGAUUUAUCAUUGUAUACUUUGUAGGCCAAAGUAGUUUUACCUGAACCCGGCAUACCAGUGAUCGAAAUGACAUUUAGAUCUGCCGUCCACUGGUGAGCUUUCUAAGUAUCAAGUUUGUCUCCUCCUCAAAACCUACAAUUAUUUUACCAGCUGUCAAUGACUUGCUUUCAACUGGCCUGGGGGUGUUUACAACAAUGAGGCUCAUAUUCUUGGGAAUCUUCUCAUGUAAAUCAGAGACGGUGACUUGCUCUCAACUGGUUUUUUUGGGAGAGUUCACAACGAUGAGACCUCUGUUCUUUGGAAUCUUCUCAUGUAAAUCAGAGACCUCUUCUUUGAUAAGUUUCAUCUUCUUUUAUGGUAAUGGGGAAGUGAGAAAAUAAGAUGCAAGAGACCAUUAUCUCGAACAAUAAUUGAAUCAAUGACAUCUUUUGCCUCAUAAGCCACAUCUAAACCGCGUGCCCAAAGAUCUUUAUACAUUUCUUGUUCAACAUUCACCAAGAACGAUCUUAUGAAUUCUAGGUCUUGCUUCACCAGCUCAAUUUCUUCCCUUAUCAAAGCAAUUGAAUAAGCAUUGGAAUCUAACAAAUCCUUUAAGUGUAUGUGCAGCAGAUGCAUGAAGAGUGGUCCUUCACUCAUGGGGAAGCAACAUUGAGAUGAAUCCGGGGCUUUCAGAUAAACAUGUUUGAGAUCUUUCUUGAGGAGUUCAAUAUUUUCCAGCAAGUCUAGAGUGGCACGGUUUGUCUCAUCGGUACCCUCUUUAUUCCUUAAUUUCUCUUCCAAUUCGCGUACAAGAGUUGAUACCUCCCUGGUAAGUGCUCCAACACGAGCCAAGAGACCAAAAAGUUUGUCAUGAUGAAUAAAGUCCUUGGGCAUAUCAGAAAGAAUAAUCAAUAGGAAUUCCAUCAUGACAUGAAUGUUUCGAGCCCCUGAAGUGUUAGGGGUAAUAACAGUUAUCAUAUGCUCUUGUAGAUGAAUCAGAUAUUCUCUGAGAAUGUCCGGAGAGGUUACCAGGAGCUGCUUAAUGAAGCGUCCAAUUUUUGCUGAAGUUGAAGCUUUCAAAUUUGUAUGACAUAUGUGCAUAACCUCCAGUUCAGUUGGAACAAUCUUCAAGAGUAGAUGUGCUAGCUUGGAGAGGUGAGGGUCUUCAUCAGUAAGAACCUCCCAAAGGAAGUGUCCUACUCUCUCAGCCAUGAGUUGAUACUGAGGUAAGACAUAUUCAACAAUCUCGUGCUCAAUGCAACCAUUCACUAUCAAGCCAUGGAAAUAUCUUACGUUGCCACACACAUUCUGAAGAAUCUCAUACUGAAACAUGUGCUCAGCAAGAUGCUUGGGUAGAUGAUGGAGAUUCAGGAGGAGGAAAUCCAACUGCUCCUCAGUCAUGGUGGUACUUGAUUUAGAUCGAUGAUGUGAGCUGAUACAAUGAUCGAUAUUAACCCUGAUGCUAGCAAGGACAUGAUGCAUGUUGUAUUUAUACCUGACAUUGUUAUCAUGAUCAUACAAAAUUGAUCGAAGCAGAUUUUCAACCUCUUGUAUUUCGCCAGUCAUUACAUUUUUAAACUGCUCCAAAUCGGUAUAAGAAAGCUGGACAUAUGUACAAAUAAAGGUCAAGAGCUCUUUUUAUUUUUCCUCAUUCUUUAAUCUCUCUAGGAAAUCCAGAACAUCUGCAAUGUCCUUGCGAAGAGCAGAAAAUAACACCUGCCAAAAUAACACAUAUCAAAAUUUUAAAGCCACACAUCUACAAUUCAAUACAUUACAGUUUACUCUAUCAAAUAACAUACCAAUGUGUUGUUUGCUUCUUCUUUCUCUAUUUCUCCUUCAUUAUCUUUUCGUUUUUCCAUGAUUCUAAUUUUCCUUUCCAAGUUCUGAAGACGUGAUGCAUAAAAGUACAUAAAAGUUUAUCAGGAGAAUAAGAUGAAAAGACAAGAAUAAUUAAUAAUUUUCAUUGGACAGACAUUUUAAGCGAGCUUAAGAGGAGGUCUUAAGUUGAAGAAAAUAAAGGUGAGUGUUGAAUUUUUGAAAGUUUUUGCAAAAUAAACUUGUAACCAUAAUCCUGUUGUCAAGUUCAUUUCAUUAAAUUUUGGCUACUCUUUUUUACUAUUUUCACGCGAAAAGAUUUUCAUUUUGCAGUUGUUUUCAUAUUUAUAAAUAAAAAUAAAAAUUAUUUGUUAGCGUUGGUAAAAGUCUCACAUUGGUUGGGGAAUGGAUUAGUGCUCUCCUUAUAUGGACUUGGGCAAUACACCCCUCAUGAGCUAGAUUUUGAGGUUGAGUUAGGCCUAUGUGUCAUAUCUUUACAUAAUAUUAGAGUCAGGUCCAUCCCCAUUUGGGCUCCCGGUCCACACUCUAGUUCGGCCUAGGCAUGAAGGGGAGGGGGGGGGGGUGUUAGAGUGGUUAAACUUGGCAAUCCUCCCCCUGAGCUAGCUUUUGAGAUUGAGUUAGUCCUAGGCGUCAUAUUUUUACGUUAUUGAGUUUUUGUCAAACAUCAAAUGGUGCAUAAAGAGCAAGUAUAGUAAUUUUAGAUUCACACAAUUAGUUUCUAACAUGUAUAAUGGACUACAAAACUAAAUCUCUCGUUUAUCUUGUGCAGUCUUUUGUCUAGAAAUCUGAUAGACUACCCCUCUUUAGACUACUUUCUGUUUUCUUUAAUUACCCCUCAUUUUUUGGAUUUUUAUUAGCAAUACUAUAGUGGGAUUUCAAAAAAAAAUUGGUAUUCAUCCAUAAACAAGACCAAGUGGUACUGAACCUUUAUAUCUCUAAUAGCUUUAGUAAUAUAUUUUCAUUAGUGAGGGGGAAUUUUUCAUCAUCUUAGAAAAAAUCUAAAAGAUCUGCUUCUAUUCACUCCGUUCUCUCCAACCCCCUCCCUCUCAUCCGGUAAGAAUUCACCCUUACCGGAUGUAAAUACCAAACUAAUACAACUUAUCACGGGUAAGUAAUAAUUUAAUGAGGUGAAUAUAUACAUUAACUAACUACGAUUAAGUGAUAAGGUCAUGCAUCUAAUUGAUUUGUUGUAAACGGCCGCUAAGAGUAAGUAUUUAGUCAUCUCUCUUUCUCCUGCAUUUUGUUUCCCUUUAUAGAUCCAACUAACCUACCAAAUUUCUUUCAUUUUCCUUACAUCAUUUUUACUUUUCCAUAAUUUUACUUCAAUAGAGAUGAGAGUAGCAAAUAUUAGAUUAGUUGACUAACCUUUUUAGUUGAUGAAACUAUAUAUCCUCUGCUUGCUUGCUUUGUUAUUUGAUCAAUACAGCUUAAAAUUCUGGAAAUAAACAGAGGAAUAAUUAAGACCAAAUAUGAUGCAUAGUAUUACUCCAAAAAAGUAAGAAAGCAAAAGCAUGAUUGAAUUACAAUGGGGACUCACUUGUCUGCCCACAAAGGAAAAAAUAAGAAAAUUCUGCUCACUUUAUAUCACUUCCUCCGUUUUAUUUUAUUUGACACUAUUUUCUUUAUUUCUUAGUUAAAGGUUCUUAUAUUGCAUGUUUCAAAAAACAUAAAGAGGCAACCAUGCUAGAAGCAAAAUCCACUAUGCUAUAAUUAAUGGUCAUUUGGUAGCUGUAUAAAACAAGUCUUAUUCAUGUAUUAGAGUCCAACUCCUCCUCAGUCAUGGAUGUAGAACGAGGACAUGAGGUGAUACAAUCAUCGAUAUUAUCCAUGAGGCUACCAAGGACUUGAGGCAUGUUGUAUUUACACCCGACGCUAUUGUCAACAUUAACCAAAAUUGAUUGAAACACAUCUUUAAGCGGUUCUCUUAGGGAAGUCAUUACAUUUUCAAAUUGCUCCAAAUCGGAAUAAGAAAGCAGGAAGUGUGCACAAAUUAGUGCCAGCCUAAAUUUCAGCAGUUCAAUUACACCAUCUUCAAGAGCUAUUUGAUUUUCUUCAUUCUUUAACCUCUCCAUGAUAUCCACAACAUUGACGAGGUCCUUGCGAAGAGCAGAAAAUGACACCUGCCAAAAGACCAAAUGUUGUACUCCUAUCAAAUUUUCAAAGCCACUCCUAUCAUAUCAUCAUCAUAAUUCAUAUAGAUUUGAAGGGGAUAAAAUAUGUCAUUUGCAAUACAAAAUUUACAUGAAAUGUUUUGGGACGUUCCUAUAACUAGUAUCAUAUAAGAAUCUAAGUCAAAAAGUUGGAUUACGAAAAUACUCCUUAUCUAUUAAUUUAUUUUCUUUAAAUCAUUUUUAAUAAUUACUUUUUCAUUUAAUAAAUAACACAAUAAUCUACUUUAAAGUAUUUUUUAUUUUUUAAAAUUAUUUUAUUCUAAAAAUCAACUUUAUAACUACACCUCUUCAUUUUCAUAACUUAUAUUUUCAUAAUAUUCAUUAAUAUGGUGUCUUUAACCCACACAUUGUCAUCUUCAUGACUCUUAUCUUCUUAAUAAUGUCUAUUAUUUCUAUGUCUUUUCAAAUUCAUGACCCCAAAUGAUAUGUUAUAAUAUUAUUAAAUCUCUUAAAUUCAAUAGAUAAUAAAUGAAAUAUUCACUAUUAUUUAAAACCAUUUUCUUAAAUCUAUUAAUUUAUUUUCUUAAUAUCAUUUUUAAAAAUAACUUUUUCAUUUAAUAAAUAGCACAAUAAUCUACUUAAAGUAGUUUAUUCUAAAAAUCAACUCCAUAACUACACCCUCUUCAUUUCAUAAUGUGCCUUUAACCACAUAUUAUCAUUUUCAUAACUAAUUUAAUAAUAAAGAAACAACGAAGAAAUUCAAUAUUAAUUUUUUUAUGAAAUUAGUAUUUGUAUGUAGAAUCAAGUACUCCUACAAAAGAUAGAGAAAAUUUAAAUAUAAAAAAUACUUUAACAUAGUAUAGUAUAUUGUUAUUUCAAACUAUGACCUCUUAUUUCAUUUACUUUACCACAAUAAAUAUUUUAUUUUGUCUGAUAUACAUGUUGACACCCAAUUUUGACCCUCCUUUCUUCUAAUUUAUUGUUUUCAAGCUUCUAAUUUAAUAACGUAUAAAAUAAUCAUUUUUCACAACUAUUUUUACUAUUAUGACUAUAUAUCUUCUAAAAUUAUUAGUUUUAUUAUCAAAAUUACUAAUAUUAUAUUUUAUACCACUUUUCCUUAAAUAAUAGUUUUUCGUCAUUUUAUUUCAAGUUUCAUAUUUUAUUAAAAUAAUUAUAAGUUGAUAUUUUGUAUAUGUAUUUUAUAUAGCGUAAAGUCAUAAUAUUGAUAUUUUAUCAUGUAAAUUAUUAAGUUGUCAUCUUAGAAUAUUUUGCAUUAGUUACAAAGUAAGAAGCUCAAAAUAAUAUAAAAGAAGAAAGGAAAAAGGCUAAGAAAUUCAGCCCAAAACCCCAAAUCAGACAAAACUUUUCAGCCCACAUAUUAUGUCAAAAUAUGUCAAGAAUUAGGCCCAACUCACAUUUUACUCUUCAGCCUCAAAGUCUUAGAAUUAGAUGAGGUUUUUCUUUUCUCUGAACGCGCGUCCUUCUCCUCCAAAAAUGGCCAAAGCGUCAAGCCUCUUUCACCUUUGACAGACGCGCUUCUCCUUUUUUCAUGCAAAUCUCGUCUAUGCCGUUGAGUCUCCUCUUCUCUCUUUACUCGUGACGCAUCAGGGAUUUCAAAAUUCAAACGACAAAUUUGUUUCUGAAAACCCGCCUAAACUUGAGAAAGAAGAACCCUAAUUCCAUCCUAUAAGUAUUAGGAGGAAGUGUUUGUUUUGGACAAGUUUUUUUGCAGCCGCCGUCGUCCUCUUGAAACAAUCAUUUUGCCAUUGUGUCUUUAACCUCCGGAAAAAGCAUAUUUUCUCUAGCUUUUUCGGUUUUCGUUUGGUCACUGAUCAUAGCAGCCAAUACAUAUAUUUUUGCCUGCUCUGUUAUUUUCUUUGUUUUUCGAGUUAAGAUCGAGACCGCAAGCCUCCGUUCACUGCCCGCAACUGGUAAUAUCCGACCCUUUUUACCUCUGUUUUGCUAUUGCGAUGCCGAUUAAUGCUCUGUUUUGUUAUUGUGAAUAAAGUGUUAUGUAUACUUUGAUAAAUUUUAUGUAUCUUAGUUAUAUUAAAUUAUUUGCAUCUCCUUUGAGAACUAAAGUCAUUUCUUCUAACGUUUUUGCCGUUUCUUAUUUAAGAAAUGGUUUUACGAGCUUAGUUUCUUUCAUUCUGGGUUAACCGUUCUUUUGCUGCAUUUGUAUUAUAAAAGUUUGCAGCCCAUGUUUUCUUAAAUAAAAGUAUGUUUAAAAUGGAUGGUUUCUAUUUUGUAUAGUUAGAAUUUAAGUGAAAAAAUGUAAAUAUAUUAUGAUCAAAAGCAUUGCUCGUAACUUCUGCUCUAUAUUGCUAUAUAUGAGUCUGAGCUUGAGCCUUUGACUUAAGGAAUAAGUUUUGAUUUAGGUUGGGAUAUUAACUUGAAAUCAAUGCUUGUUAGUUACUUGUUUCCUCUGCUAGAUUGUAAACAUACUGGAUAUAGCUUCAUAUAUAUGAUAUGAAUUUUAAGCCUCUUUCAUGUUAUUUCCUUUAACAGAUAUGUAUGUGUAAGCUUCUUUCCUAAUUGUAAGUAAUGGCAUGUUAAAUCUCAACAUUUCGUUUGUAACCCAUAUCUUUUUAGCAAGAUAAUUUUUUUACCAUUUAAAAUUUAUACAGUGAUUAAAGAGAUUAUAUUAGUUGUUGUGAAUCACUAAUUAUUAUAAAAGUUAUAAUUUUUUGUAGCACUUAGCGCAUAUUUACAUGGUCAAAAUAGUUUAUUUGAUGUGUAAUCUUACUUAGAUCUACUUAUUUCAUUUUAAUAUAUCAUUUAAAGUCAAGUCAUACUAAUAAUCUUUUUACUCUCUCUUUCUUUACAUGUACACUUUGGAGCAAAAUUGAGUCUUAUAGACUUGACGUUAACCUCAUACCCGCACAUGGAGUCUUCACUACAUUUUUUACUAUUUCAAAUGGCAAACAAAACAAGCGAGCCUCGCUUGGAGUCACUCAUGGCUAUUUAUAUUUUAGCAUUAACUUGUUUAUUUAUUUUUCUUUAUAUUUUAUACUUGAAUAUGUUUUUAUUUUUGAAUUCUCAAAUACGUAACAUAAUAUAGAUAUUUGGGUUUGGGUACCUUUUAGUUAGAAGCAACCUUUAUUAGUCACUUUAGCUUUUAUAAACUUCAUUUGGCAAAAUCUUUUGGCAAAAGGGCCUGAUGGACCCUUAUACUUGUUUGUGUUUGUAUUGUGAACCCUUCUAUUUGCUCAUUUGUCAUAUGAACCCCCGAAUUCAUCAAAACAUAAUAUUUUAAACACUACUUUUGACUUGGCAUCGUAUGUGGCAGCUAAUACCAAAGAGCGUGUGACACACACCUAUUAGGAGCGUGAGACACUUGAAAAAGAGUCUAACAGUAACAUUAGAGCUUUAUCAUUUUCCUAUUUGCAUCCAACACCAUUGUUGAACAAAGUUUGAGGUUUUCUUGGCCUCUUUUUCUCAAUUACAAAUUAAACAACAAAUGAAUUCAAAAAUAAAUUGAAAAAACUAUCCAGAUAAGUUGAAAAUAAAACAAAAACAACAAAAACUCAAAUAAUUUUCAACAUUGACCCCUUAGUCAUCCACCACCCAAAUGACCCCCUGUUUCAAUUUCAAACCAACCUCAAACUUACUUCCUUCUUAUUGUCCUCCUCACCUUCUCCGACCAAACCGCCAUCGUUCUCACCAAUCUUCAACCAGCACCUAUAAGCAAGAACAACCAACAACAAAAACCCUAAACCAACUCCGCCAAUAAGCCUCGACCUUCACAACGCCGCCAACCCUGAGAUUCGGCGAGAUUGUUAACAACUAGAAACAAUCAGACCACCCAACAGACCCCCACUCUUCCUUAGCACCACCGGUCACCACCAAAGCCCAAAAUCAACUCCGAACUCCGAUGAUAUUGUGAACAAUCAAAAAGCAUGCCAACUUUUUUACUUCAAUGGAAAGAGUAGAAGAAGUUGGAAAAAGGAAAAGGGUAAGGAAGAUGAUAAAAAGGGACGACGACUGCUAUGGCAAAGAGAAAUAAAAUUGGAAAGAGACUCAUAGCUACAAUAAUUAAAUAUAAUAAAAGGAAAAAUAAUAUGGAGUGAAUAUAUAUACAUGUGUCAUUUUAUAAUCAUACGUGUCAUUUUAUAAUUAUUUUUAAAAUUACGUGCCAGGCGUUUGUAAUACACACAGUUGAGUAGUAAAAAAUGUGUUUAAAUUGUCGUGUUUCGAUGAGUUCAGGGGGUUCAAUUGACAAAGGGGUAAGUAGAAGGAUUCAUAAUACAAAUACAUACAAGUAGGGGUGUUCAUGGUUUGGAUAAAAACCGAUCCAAACCGAAAAACCAAACCGAUUGAAUAUGUUUUUAUUUUUGAAUUCUCAAUUAGGUAACAUAAUAUAGAUGUUUGGGUUUGGGUACCUUUUAGUUAGAAACAACCUUUAUUAGUCGCUUUAGCUUUUAUAAACUUCGUUUGGCAAAUUCUUUUUAAACACUUCUUUUUGCACCCCUUUAAACUCACUAGAUUUAUUUAAUUUUGUUCAAACUUGACAAUGUCUUUAAAAAAUAUAUAUAAUAUAUUUUGUUCUAAACUCUUAUUUUUUCUAAAACUUUUUCUAAAGGGAGCAUUUUAUCAAUCAAUGAGCAAAUGUCUAAUUUAAUUACCUUUUUCAGCCGUGGACUACGAAUUUGUCUAAAUUGAUCUAAAGAAAUUGCUUUCUUAAAUCUUUUUCAUUCUAAUAAAAUUGCAAAAGAGCUUUUAAAAUAAAAAAUGUUUUCCAACUUGGUUACUCAAUUACUUAAUUUCUAGCACUCAUAUCUUUUUUUUUAAAAAUUUAAUUAACCUAAGUUUGGUCGGUUAAUUGUUUUUUACGGAUCUUAAAGGAUGCCUUACUCCUUUCCUUUAGGAUAAAUUAGAACCCUUACCUAGAAUCAUGCAAGUUAAGAAUUAAAUUGAAGUUAUUUUAGUAUUACUUAGUUAAAUAUUUAGGUGUCCUAAUUCACCAUAAUUAAUUAGGUGGCGACUUCUUAAGUUAAUUAAUUUGAAAAUCACCAAAAUAUUGUACACCGUUUGGACCUAGAAUUAAAAUGGGGGUAUAACAAUACAUAUGAAUAAUUUGUACUUAAAAAGAUGCAAAAAAAUAAUAAUAAUUCUAUUUUGUAUAUUAAAAAAAGAUAAAACAUAUUAUGUCGCAGAUGAAGAGAAAUAUCAAUAUUGUUUUAUAUAUCAAUUAAAAACAUCACAGUAACUCAAUAAAUGUAAUAUUUUUCGUUACAACAUUAAUCCUUCAAUUAAUUCAAGCAUGUGGAUGUUCGUUAUUAAAUAAUCACACAACUUAUUUUGUCACCUCACUCACACAGCCACACAAUAUCUUUAUAAAAAUUUUCACCUUAAUUAUUGUAUUCUAAAUAAACUUGAAUGAAAUAUGUAGUUUAACACUUGAUGGAGAUAUUCUGAGCUAUACAUCAGAGACGGAUCUAGAAUUUAAGUUUUAUGGAUUCAAUAUUAUUUUUAAAGUUAUAGGUUCACAUCUAUUAUUUGUUAUAAUUUUCAUGAAAAUUUAUAGAUAUAUAUUUUGCAUGUAUGUUGCAGUGAAUAUCUUAGAUUAGUGUAUUUUAUUUUCAUGGUUUUUGUAAUAUUUCAUUUUUUUUUAUUUAGGCACCUAACAUAGCUAUAGAGAGCUUUCUUAAACAUACCGAUGAGUUGUUUGCUUUCUCUUCCUCUCUUUCUUCUUGAUUUUGUUUUCCUCUUUCCAUGAUUGCAACUUUCCUUUCAAGUUCUCAAGAUCGGACGUAUAAAUUGUACCUAAAUAAAACUUUACUCUUUAGUAUUUGUUAGCAUUUGUAUUUUCAACACUACAAAACUAUAGUAUAUAUUAUUCUUAUUAAUUUUGUUGAGAUAUUGAUCAAGGUUAGAUAAAAUUAUUUUGACGAAUAGUAAUUUUAGAUGCAAUUAGUCUCUAACACUAGAAAUGUCAAAUAUUAAUCACAUAUAACAUGUUAUGGCGUGAAAAAAUAAACAUAAUAUCCCAAAGUUGGUGCAUUUUAAGAAAAAAGAGUUAAUAAGAUGAAGGAAAAUACAAGUCCAAGAUAUUCGAGAAAACAAAACCUAUCAAUACAAAUAUCUUUCCUGUUUUUAUGCCUCGUAUAUUAUUUUAGCUACCCUCCUCAUCAUGUUCUUUCAUUCCUUCAAACCAUAUGAUAUACGAAACUCAAUUUUGUAAAUAUGUAUGUCUACCUAAUAUUCAUAUUACAAGUUGACUAAGACUUGUGGAGAUGGUGUUGUGGUUUAUGAGAAUUGAUGGGAGCUUACGAGCAACAAUAAAAUUGUCUCCAUGUAACAGUAAAGAAGCCACUAAUGUUUCUACAGUAUCCUCAUGGGGUGCGAUCCUUCCAUUAAUCCUACUAACGUUGGAUGUUUUGUGCCCAAGGCUGCUUUAUUUACAGGACAUUCCUGAUGUUUCUUGUUUUUCAUAGUUCCCUUUAGAUAUUAUAUCCAUGGUAGAAGAUAAAGAAAACAAGAGAGUUUGAAGAUGAACUUACCUUUUGACGGUCUGAAGUUUAGCAAUAUUAGAAGCCCUUGAUUGAGAGAAUGAAAUAGGUAGGUAGAUCUAGAUUUACAAUAAUUCCAAGAUUAUUAACAUACAACUCAACUCAUUGACUUUAGAAUUGUUUAUCAUCUUAAUAUAUGUAUUCAACUUGUCGUAAUUGGCUAACGAUGAAUUUGAAAGGCCAGCACGCACGUAUUGAAAGAAGAAUCAAAUUGAUUGACAGUUAAUAUAAAAUCCAAAGAGCAGAGCUGGAUGGAAUCUGUUGAAAAUGAGCAAGUGGUUGCCAUUUUAUAUAAAGUUAGUUCAGUGGAGACUUUCAUCAAACACAUUGUAGACAGUUUUGAACAGCCAAAAUAUCUAAGCAUUUAGUAAGCCAACUAGAAGCAGAGCUGGAAGGAGUCUAGCAAAUUGGUAAAAUAUUUUUUAAAAAAAUGGAGAAGAACCUGUUCUGGUGCUCCAAUCGCCGGUGUAGACUGACGAGAAUUUACCCCUCAAAUUAUGAUGCACGCGAACUCAUGACUUCAUACUUUCUUUUUUCUCCUUUCAUUAGCGGUGCAUUCAUAUUCUAGAAAUUCUAAAUUCGCUUCUGGGGUGUAGACUUUUAUUAGUAGUAAAAGACUCAAAGAGGAACAUACAAGCCAAUCAGGCCAAACGUUAUCUUACUAAUCCUAAUACGAACAAGAAAGAGAAAAAAAAUCAAAUAUGAUACAAUGCAAUUAUUUGAAAUAAGAAAUGGUAUCAAAUCUUAUUGCUUCAACGUAACUUGACGAUCUUGCUCUUUGUUUUGCAAAUCAAUUAAAUACAUUGAGUUACACAUGGUUUUGGCAACUUGCCUCACAGAAAAGGCUCUUGGAGUAAUAUCAAAUCUCUUAGAGUCGAUACACCUACCCAUCUUGCUUUUAUUGUUCUAUCGGGAGUUACUUCAUGUAUUGCUUGACACAAAACUGAUUGUGGAUUCCUCUUGGAUGAUUCAGGUAGAUAUCCAGGUGAUACAUCUAGCCACACUAGAAAAUAAUUCCGAACAACAGUUCGUGAUUUUUAAUGAGAUUCUUGUCAGUUGUUUCACAGCUAUCAGAACAACAUGAUUUAACCAAAACAGUUGUAUAUUUGUAUUCAACAUCAAGACUCCAACAUGAUUAGUCCACAUUAUGAAACAUAAGAUAAAUUUAUGCCAAAGGAAAUUGGAGACAGAAACUAGGGAAUACAAAAGAUUAAGAUGAUCAUUUAUUGAUCAAAGUCACUGAGGCAACACUUCCAAAAAAAGACAACAAAGGACUGAUAGCAUUUCUCGGAACACUAACCAUAUGCAUCAGGCUUCCACUAAACUUUCUACACUGAGCUUGAUAUCCACCUUAGAGUUGGAACCACCAUCUGAUGACUGCUUAAACUUCACAUAAUUAAGAUAUUUUUUCGAGUUUGUCUACAAAAGCUCAUCAAUCCUAUACUUCAUAGACUUAAAGUUGCCACCUUCAGAAAAGAAGUCACAGUUAUAAGAUUAUAAGUGAUUAAAAUGAGUCUAUUCAAAAUUGAAAAAGAAUUAACUAGGAUGAAGAAUGUUGAUAUUCAUGACAAAAUCAAUACUUCUGUAGCUUGUGGCUCUUGCACAUUUCAGAUUAUGAACUUUCGAAUAACAAUUCUUUUAACAUAUGUAUCACAUUUUGUAUCUUAAGGCCAAUAUCAUAUCAUAUAUUAUUAUAAGUGGGAAGAAUGUUAGGCAAAAGUUGGAUUACCAUUUUGCCCCUACAUUAAAUUAAAAUGUUAUAAACUAUUUAAUAAAUUAAAUACUAAAUAGUAAAUCAUCAUAUUACUACAUGAAUAAUUUAUUUAUACCUUUUACUAAUUAACUUCUAAAAUCAAAUCAAUAAUAACAAUUAAGCUAGACCAAAUACAUGAUUAGAUGUUACAACUAAUUAUUUUUCACUUUUCUUCCCACUUUAUAAUGAGUUUAAAUUAGUAACUCUUUUAGAUUGAAAGCCUCUUAGAAUAUAUAUAUCUGUAUAAAUCUUCAUAUUGAGAAGGUAACAAGCUCUCAUCAACUCACACAAUUUUUUUUGGAAUUUUCUUAUAUUUUUCCUAUUUAAUUUAAUAUUAAAUGCCUAAAAAGCGUUGAUAAAAAGACUACUGUUAAGUAUAAGCCAAAAAGACUCACAAAUUUUGUCAGUUUCAAGAAGAAAGUCCAAAAGUCUCUUAUCCCAAAAUUAAUAAGAAGAAGGAACCUGUUGGCUCAACCAAUGCGUUUGUCACUUUUUGGGGCCUUUUGUGGUGGUAACAUGGUUGAAAGGUAAACUCUUUGUUUUUGUUUAGAUUUAUUUAAUAUCUCAAAUAAUCACAAGUUCUGUUCAACAAGAAAAAACUGUUUAGGCUCCAGUAGCCAAUAAUACGUUUACAUUACUCUAUUUGGUCGUUAAAUUACUGCAGAAGUUGAGCUUUUUUGGAUUUAUUUUGGAUAUGUUCUUCUAUUUGGUGUCUUUAGCACAAAUAUAUUUAUGGUUGUUUUCCUAAUAAACCUUAAUGUGAUUGCAGUUAAAACGUUGUGCAGAGAUGCAGCGCUCCUGAAAAUGUAUAAUCUUGCCAGACAUUUCAUCUAAAUUAUUAAGUGAUUAAUUAUUAUACUGCACAAUAUUAAAAAAAUCUACUCGGCUUUAUUUCAUUAUUUGGGUUUGUAAGGUUGUGAAUAAUCCCUUUCACUUGUGUUUAAGUCAAAUAAUAUAUAACAAAUAAUAAUUUCACUUUCAAUAGAAUUUUACCCAUUAAUCAAUUACAAUUAUUUGAGGAUGCAAUUUUGGUACAUGUGUAGAAGACUUGAAGGUUAUGUUUUUUGAAAUCUUUUUUUUUAUAAUUUCUUUGGCUAGGAAAUACAUGGCUUUUCCUUUCAGUUUCAAAUACAUUCUUAAAAUUAGUUUCUUAUAUUCUUCACUUCUUCAUCUAUUAGGGGAAAAUUAAGAGAAAAAAUUAUUAACAAUUUUUUUUGGUUCCAAUAUGUCAACACAACCAUAUCCAACUACAAAAUGAGGUAUUUAUCUUUUGCUCUUUAUAUUUUUGCAUGAAUUCACAGUUUUUGAUGUACACGGUUUCUCUUUUUAUAAUUUGGGCAUAAAAGGUUAGUUCAUUACACUUUUGUGUUUUAUCAUCAUAUAGUUUUAAUGUCAUUUUUUAUUUAUUAGUUAUCUUUCUUAUUUGGUUAAUAUAUUACUUUCUUUAACUUUUUUCAUUUUGUUGAUAUGAUGACAUUUAUAUUUUAUUGUUUUUCACAUUAAUUGAGUUGAUGUUACAAAUGUUUCAAUACAUGAGAUAGACUUAUAUAAUUUUUAUACGGUAAUAAAGGUCAAACGUGCAAUGCACAUUCCUUGAACUAGUAAGUUAUUAUAUGCAUGACGUACCGUUUUCUUCCUCCAUUUUCCUUUCCCCUUUCCAUGAUUGUACUUUCCAAUAGUCAAUACCAAAGGUCUGAUGUAUAAAAUGUGCUUAAAACUUUAUCAAGAUCAUAGAAGGAAACAAUUCUGCAGAUAUAGUCAGACAUAUAGAAAGGUCAUUUUCGAUAUAUUGAUCAAAUGGCGCUUACAAAACAUUAUCCCACUUUAGACACACAAAAAAUGAGAAGAAGAGUAGUUUAUAAGAUAAAGAAGAAAACAGAAAUAUUAAAGAAAACAAAACCUAUAACCAUAUAGGUCAAGGGCAGAUGUAUAUUGUCGAGACAUAAUAUAAGGCCAUGUAUUUCUACUUAGUUUCAGUUGAGACUUUCAUCAAACUCAUUGUAGACAUCUUUUAACAUUUGCCACUACAGGAAUCAGAACAGCAAAGAAUGGAGAAGAACCUGUUCACAUAUAAUGCUACUUAAAUAACGGGAUAUUCUUCCGGCCAACAACUUGAAGAUCGUCUCCUCCCCUCAUAUCUUCAGCAUAUUCCUUAAUCUUCAUAGCGGAAUCUUCAAGUUGAGGGUUCUUUACAAGUUUGAUAAUUUUGAGUGACCAAAUAUCCCCAAAACUAGGCGGAAUCUCCUCAAGCUUACGACAUCCCUCCAGUUUUAAUUUCUCAAGCGCAGGAAAGGAUUCCUCUCCAACCUCCCACUUGGAAAGAGUCACUUGAUCCAACUUCAAAAAAUUUGAGAUUCUCAAAGGUGUCUUCCUCCUCCAUAUUCCAUUCUUCCCCAUGGAUGAUUGUUUGAUAAAGGGUCAACUCUUCAAGGUUGGGCAGUCUCGCUAUUGUUGAUAGUGAAUCGGAUGUCAGAGGAAAGUUACGCAACGACAAUCUUUUCAAAAUCAAAGGGAAGUGAAAAUUCCAUGACCCACUGUCAUUUGUGUUUGAACUUUCAAAACGUACAUUGAGGUCUUCUAGUUCAGUUAGGCAAUCCAAUUUCGGGAACCAAAAUCGCUCUGUUGCAUAAUCCCAUGAUUCCUUGAGAUCAAAUCCAAGCACUUGAAGAUUGGGAAGCCUUUUGAAAAUAUCCUCUGUAUCUUUCCAAUACGAAAGCACAAGAUUGUUUAAAUAUCUCAAGUUCUCUAACUUUGUGUCCUCUGCUACCAGAAUUGGUUCAUCUGUAUCCAUAUCAAAGAAAUAACAAGUAGGCACUUGCAGCAUUCGCAACUUUACAAGAUCCCAAAUUCUCGGUAAUAGUAUCAAGGUUGAUUCUUCGUUAUCCACCACCAAGAUUUCUAGAUUCCUGAGGUUUGAGAAAGACAAAGGCAGAUAUUUAACUUCUGUCCCAAUUCUUAAGUACCUCAAAUGAUUCAACAUGCAUAUUUCAUUCAGCAAAGAGUCAUUCACCAUGAUAAAAGAGUGAUUCAGGAACAACACUCUAAGAAGCCUCAAGUGUCUUAGGUGAAAUAUAUCAGAAAGACGGUCAUCCAGCAGGUCUCCAUUUAUGGUCAAAGAAUAGAGGUGUUUACCGGAAUGCAUUUUCUUAUUUGAACUGAGCAGGACAAAAUUAAGCACAAAGUGCUCCUCAUCAUCAUCAAUGGAAAUUUUACGUGUCAACAAAUCUGAUGGAGCACUUGAACUUAUCCGGUCGAACAACUUUUCCUUUGUUGCUUUUAUCAAACAAAAGUCAUGCACAAGAUCAUGAAGUUGGCAAGUCGGAUACCUACCUACCUCAUUGAAACAAAUUACCAAGCUACUGGAAAUUAAAUCAUCCAAAUAAAUCUUCACCACUUCUUCCAUACUCUUCAUUUCCGUCUUUUCCACAAGCCCUUCAGAAAUCCAUAUAGCUUUCAAUGCAUAGAAUGUCAUUGCACAGUCCUUCGGCAUACUUGCAAAGUAAAGCAAGCAUGGCUUCAGGUGAUCAGGUAAGUGGUCAUAACUUGUUUACUAUAACUUUCAUCACUUCCACUUCAUUCUUCAAAAUAAAGGAAUGCAAAUUAUUUACAACUUCAAGCCACACACUCUUUUUCUUUUCCCUCCCAGCAAUGACUCCAGCAAUCAAAUCCACCACCAAAGGAAGCCCUUUACAAUUUUCGGCUAUUUCUUUCCAACAUCCAAUAGUUCAUUAGGGCAACUCUCGUUUCCAAAUGCCCUUUUCUCUAAUAACUCCCAACUUUCUUCUGAUCUUAGCAAUCGAAGGUUAAGAGGAUCAGUGUAGAUCAUUCCAUGCAAAGCCACUUCCUUUUCUCGAGUUGUCAAAAUAAUUCUACUUCCUUUCUCAACUUCUGGAAAAGGUCUUGUUAACUCAUCCCAUGUAGUAGUAUCCCACACGUCAUCUAAGACAAUAAGAUACCUCUUUCCAUACAAUUGUUUCCGUAGCUUAUCAGCAACAUCAAUAUUCUCAUUCAAUUUUGAAUCUGAGCCAUUAACUUGAUUUAAAAUUUUAUUCAACAAAUUCUUCUCGUCAUAAUCUUGGUCGACUGUGCACCAUGCACGAAGGUCAAAGUGAUUAGAAAUUGAUUGAUCAUUGUAUACUUUGUACGCGAGAGUAGUUUUACCUGAACCCGGCAUGCCAGUGAUCGAAAUGACAUCUAGAUAGGCCGGUCCACCGGUAAGCUUUCUAAUUAUCCAGGUCGUCUCCUCCUCAAAACCUACAAUUAUUUUACUAGUUUUCAAUGACUUGCUCUCAACUGGCUUCUUGGGAGAGUUCAGAACAAUGAGAACUCUAUUCUCAGGAAUCUUCUCAUGUAAAUUGGAGAAAUCUUCUUUGAUAAGCUUGAUCUUCUGUAUGGUAAUGGGAAGUGAGAAAAUAAGAUGUAAGAGACCAUUAUCUCGAACAAUAAUUGAAUCUAUGACAUCUUUUGCCUCAUAAGCCACAUCUAGAACACGUGCCCAGAGAUCUUUAUACAAUCUUUUCUCAACAUUCACAAAGAGCGAUCUUAUGAAUUUCAGGUCUUGUCUCACCAACUCAAUUUCUUCCUUUAUCAAAGCAAUUGAAUAAGCAUUGGAAUCUAGCAAAUCAUUCAAAUGUAUGUGUAGUAGAUGCAUGAAGAGCGGUCCAUCACUCAUGGGGAAGCAACAUUGAGAUGAGUCCGGGGCUUUCAGAUAAACAUGUUUGAGAUCUUCCUUGAGGAGUUCAAUAUUUUCCAGCAACUUUAGGGUUGCACGAUUUGUCUCAUUGGUACUCUCUUUAUUCCUUAAUUCCUCUUCUAAGUCGCGAACAAGAGUUGAGACCUCCUUUAUUAGUGCUCCAACAAGUGCCAAAAGAUCAAAUAAUUUGUCAUGAUGAAUAAAGUCCUUGGGCAUAUCAGAAAGAAUAAUUAAUAGGAACUCAAUCACGACAUGAAUGUUUUGAGCCCCUAAAGUGCUUGAGGUAAUAACAGUUACCAUGUGCUCUUCUAGAUGAAUUAGAUAUUCCCUAAGAAUUUCUGGAGAGGUUUCUAAGAGCUGCUUAAUGAAGUGUCCAACUUUUUCAGAAGUUGAAGCUUUCAAAUUUGUAAAACAUAUGUUCAUAACCUCCAGCUCAAUUGGAAUAAUCUUCAUGAGUAGAUGUGCUAGCUUGAAGAGUUGAGACUUUCCACCAAUUUGACCAUCCCAAAGGAAGCAUCCUACUCUCUCAGCCAUGAGUUGAAACUGAGGUAAGACAUAUUCAACAAUCUCGUGCUCAACGCAACCAUUCACUAUCAAACCAUGGAAAUCGCACAUGUUGCCACACACAUUCUGAAGAAUCUCAUACUGAGUCACUAAUGGAAACUUCUGUUCAGCAAAAUACUUGGAUAGAUGAUGGAGAUUCAGGAGGAGGAAGUUCAACUGCUCCUCAAGCAUGGUGGCACUUGAGUUUGAACGAUGAUGUGAACUGAUACAAUGAUCGAUAUUAUCCCUGAGGCUAGCAAGGACAUGAAGCAUGUCGUAUUUACACCCGACGUUGUUGUCAACAUCAUACAGAAUUGAUCGAAGUAAAUUCUCAGCCUCUUGUCCUUUGAAAGUCAUUACAUCUUCAAACUUCUCCAAAUUGGAAUAAGAAAGCUGGGCGUAUGUACAAAUAAAUGCCAGCUCCGAUUUCAGUUUUUCAACUUGAUCCUCGUCAAGAGCUUUUUGAUUUUCCUCAUUCUUUAAUAUCUCUAGGAAAUCCAGAACAUCAGCAAUGUCCUUGAGAAGAGCAGAAAGUAACACCUGCCAAAAGAUGAAAUGUCAUAUCAAAUUUUCAAAGCCACAUAUCUACAAUUCAAUACUUUACUCUAUCAAAUAACAUACAUCCGAUGAGUUGUUUGUUUUCUCUUCCUCGCUUGCUUCUUGAUUUCCUUUUUCUGUUUCCAUGAUUGCAAUUUUUCACUAGCCAGUGAAAAAGUAAAUUUUCCUUCCUUUCCCUUCAAGUUCUCAAGAUCUGAUGUACAGAGAGUACGUACAUAAAACUUUAUCAAGAGAAAGAAGUGGUUAAGUGUAGAAAAACCAUACAAGAAACUGCAGUAAAAAGUCAUAGCACAAAACAACUUUGCAGAUAUAGAAUUGGGAUCUGUCAAUUUUUUUUGUAAUUGUUCGCUUGUUGUCAAGUUUAUUUCAUUCACAUAAACAGAUUUAGUAAUUUUUGAUGCAAUUAGUGUCUAACACCAGAAAUGUCAAAUCUUAAUCAUAUAUAAUAUGUUAUGACAUGAAAACAUAAACAUAAUAUACCAAAACUGUUGCUUUUUGAAAAAAGGAGUUUAUGAGAUAAAAGGAAAAUACAAGUCCCAGAUAUUCAACAAAACAAACCUAUCACUACAAAUAUCUUUCCUGUUUUUAUACCUAGUAUAUUAUUUUAUCUACCUUCCCCAUCAGUGGCGGAUCCAGGAUUUAGAGUCCGUGGGUGCCAAAUAAACUUAUCGAUUAAAUUAAUUUUAUAUUCGAUUAAAUUAAAAACGUCAAUAACAAUUAUAAAAAAAUAAAAAUAAUGUGCAGCUGUUUUCCUUAAAAAAAGGGGCUUGGGGUCUUUUUUUUUAACUUAAAAACGUCAGCAGCAUUUUUUCAAAAAAAUAGGUUCAAAUGGGAUUCGAACCCGCAACCUCAACCUUCUAAAGUUGCCCUCCUACCAUGGCACCACAAGCCAAUUUUGUUCUGUGGGUGGCACGCUUUAUAUUUAUAUAAAUAUUAUGUAUAUAUACCUAUGUAUAUAUAGAGUUUCCGUCGAAGUUCGGGGGUGGCGUGGCACCCCCAAGGCCCUUCAUAGAUCCGCCCUUGUUCCCCAUUAUGUUCUUUCAUUCCUUCUAACCAUAUGAUAUACGAAACUCAAUGGCCCAACAAAUGCGGAUUCUAACUGCAUAGUCAUAGUUAUUAUGAUUAAAUCAGAGGAUAAUCUUCCGUGUUAUAUUUUUGAUUCAUACGGAAAAAUGACAACCCUAGAAAAUUUCCAAUAGUAAGCAGAAAACUAGGAAGAAAAGAAAUAAGAGACCUUCAACAUAAUUAUCUUUAUCUUUUGACCAACCACUUUAAGUUCAUCAAGCCAUAUUCUUGGACAGUGGUAAGCUAUAAAAUUCAGAAAGAUUUUUUGUGAGAGUAGCUGAAGUAGAAUCAAUAGAGACACCGAGUGUAACACCCCAGAGAAUUUUUCGAACUAAGACACGAGCCGUCCUUCAUGUGGAGUGAGAUUUUACCGAGGAAUAAAAAUUUCUUGAGUGUUAAGGUCCCUAGAUGUAGCACAUUGAGUUCCAAGAAGAGUUGAAUUGGAAAUAGUCAUUUUUGGAAAGAUUUCAAAAUCUGGAAAAUUUGGCUAAGUAUGGAAAAAGGGUGAGUUUUUGGUCAACUUUAGCAGUCGUAACUCCUAGCUCAGGAUGAGUUAGGUGUAGUUCCAAUUAUGGUUGCGAAGUUCGUGGAAUGAUAUUUCCAACGCCAUUGAGUUUGCUCAAUUCCGAGUUCGUAUGAAUGAGUUAUGCCCUUUGGAAGUUGGGCAGUUGGCAGGGAAUCCAUCCGGAAAUUUUAAGGGCAUUUUGGUCUUUUCCCUAAUCAAUUCUUUUGGUUAUAUAUUAGUGUUAGACUGAUUUUUUGAUCAGGUUUUACCAUUUUAAAAGAGUGAGAGUGAGGGUUUUGAGUGAAGAAGAGAAGAAGAGGAGAAGAAGAAGAGAAAGAGGAGAUCAAGCAAGUUUCCGUCGUGGAUAUCGUCGAGGGUGAUCCCUACUAGGUAUGUGAGUUCAUAGUGUUGGGUNNNNNNNNNNNNNNNNNNNNNNNNNNNNNNNNNNNNNNNNNNNNNNNNNNNNNNNNNNNNNNNNNNNNNNNNNNNNNNNNNNNNNNNNNNNNNNNNNNNNNNNNNNNNNNNNNNNNNNNNNNNNNNNNNNNNNNNNNNNNNNNNNNNNNNNNNNNNNNNNNNNNNNNNNNNNNNNNNNNNNNNNNNNNNNNNNNNNNNNNNNNNNNNNNNNNNNNNNNNNNNNNNNNNNNNNNNNNNNNNNNNNNNNNNNNNNNNNNNNNNNNNNNNNNNNNNNNNNNNNNNNNNNNNNNNNNNNNNNNNNNNNNNNNNNNNNNNNNNNNNNNNNNNNNNNNNNAAUCUUGAAUUCAUAAUUCAAAUUCAAGGUAGAGUUGAGAGUUAUGUUUUGAGAAUUCUUUCGAAUAUUCUAAGGAAAUCCCUUUGAGUCUUUUUGAGGAGUCUUCUACAAUUUCUAGUAACUUGUUUCAAGACUCGAGCAAGUGAGUAAGAGAAUGAGAAGUGUCGUAUACAUGAGUUCCAUGUAGCUUGUACACCUUCGAUUCAAGUCGCUCAUGCCCAUAAUUCGACAUGAACCAUAUUUUAAAAAGUCUUUUACAAAUGUUUAAACCUUGUUUUAAGACUUAAGCGUAGAAGUAAGCAAGUCAAGCAAAGAGCUUAGAGUUUCAAGUCAAGAAAUGGUAUAGAGUUUCAAGUCAAGCAAAGAGCUUAGAGUUUCAAGUCAAGAAAAUGGUAUAGAGUUUCAAGUCAAGCAAAGAGCUUAGAGUUUCAAGUCAAGAAAAGGGUAUAAAGUUUCAAGUCAAGCAAAGAGCUUAGAGUUUCAAGUCAAGAAAAGGGUAUAGAGUUUCAAGUCAAGUAAAGAGUUUAGAGUUUCAAGCUAAGUAAAGAGUCUCAAGUUUCAAGUUGAGUCAAGAGUUUAAAGUUGAGUUCAUUUCUCAAAAGCUAUUAGGGAACUAUGUAUCCCCAAAGAAGUUUCUAAAUGUUUUUUUACAUUUGAGUAAGAAAGGGAGUAUGAUUUCCAAAAAAGCCUUUGGGCUAGUUUUCAAGAAAAGGAACAUCGUUUCCAAGUGAGCCUUUGGGCUAGAUUUUGAGUAAUUAUCUCACUUAAAGAAAGAUGUGUUUAAAACACUUAUGAGCUAAAGUAUUUUAGGAGUAGUAUCGAGCACCGAAUUGGGGGAGCGUUCAAAGAACCCACAGCCCCCAUAGAACCAUGUUAGCCACCAUGGGUAGAAAAGGAUCAUACUUUUUAGAUGAAUCCUUUUCAGAUUAGACUAGUGNNNNNNNNNNNNNNNNNNNNNNNNNNNNNNNNNNNNNNNNNNNNNNNNNNNNNNNNNNNNNNNNNNNNNNNNNNNNNNNNNNNNNNNNNNNNNNNNNNNNNNNNNNNNNNNNNNNNNNNNNNNNNNNNNNNNNNNNNNNNNNNNNNNNNNNNNNNNNNNNNNNNNNNNNNNNNNNNNNNNNNNNNNNNNNNNNNNNNNNNNNNNNNNNNNNNNNNNNNNNNNNNNNNNNNNNNNNNNNNNNNNNNNNNNNNNNNNNNNNNNNNNNNNNNNNNNNNNNNNNNNNNNNNNNNNNNNNNNNNNNNNNNNNNNNNNNNNNNNNNNNNNNNNNNNNNNNNNNNNNNNNNNNNNNNNNNNNNNNNNNNNNNNNNNNNNNNNNNNNNNNNNNNNNNNNNNNNNNNNNNNNNNNNNNNNNNNNNAGGAUGGUCCUUGGGCAACGUGAGGUAAAAUGUUGUAUCACCACUUAGUUUCAUAAGCGGUGGUUGUUGGUUAGAGAAACUCCCACAGCAGAAAUUGCAUGGUCCCUCGAGGGGUUCUGUUUGGUAUGGGUGGGGGUAUGGGACUUCAUUCAUGCAUUGCACAAGGAAGGUAGAACUAGUAUACUGUUACUGAUAUCCCUCGAGUAGGAAUCUACUGAUAUGAAUAUUUAACUCAUUCACGAGGAGUUCACUGUUAUUGGUUACUUCUUAAAGAGAAGGCCACACUGAUUACAUGAUUCAUCCUUGGAAACCUCCCAGCUAUAAGAUUUGAUAUGAAAGUGUUUUCUGAGUUUACUACUAAGAUUUGAUAUAAAAGUGUUUUUCUGAGUUUACUACUAAGUGUUUACAUUGAUUUAUCUUACAUGAGGCAAAUAAGAUUGAAUAAUUUUUACUUUAACUUUUAUCAAAAAAAAGAUUGAAUAUUGUUACCGUUUCUGAAAAAGGCGUUGAUUUUAGCAAUUUGACUAUCAUACUAGCAUGUUUUCUGACUUGUCCCUCAUUACAACGGUUGCGGUUAAGUGUUAUUACUCACUGAGCUAGCGUCUCACUCCUCGCUUUAUUUUACAGAGAAUGCAGGUCACAGGGGUAAUGAUUUCUUUAACUAGAGCUUUCGAGUUGAUAAUUCGAGGUGAGACCCGCACUUGUUCGCGUGGACAAAAAAUAUUUUUUACUAUAGUAAAAAUAAAAGAUAAUCUCAAAAAUAUUUUUCAUUCAUAAAUCAAACACUAAAAAUCUUUUUCGGAAAAUAUUUUCUAAUCAUCAACCAAACAUGAGAAAAUAAGUCAACUUUGCCCUUAUUGAUUUCUGAUACAGGUAAUUUCAGGAUAGGCCCAAAAACAGAGGAAACUUUGCCCGAUUUUCUGUAGAUUUCUGGUUAAGGCUUGCUUUGGGAUUCUUUCCCUUAGUGCCGGUCACAGACCUAAUUUGGGUCGUGACAUUAAUAAUCUGUCUAAUAAUAUUUUUCUCCUGUCCCGACUUGGGCUAAUGGAAAAAAUUACUUAUUUUGAUAAAACUAAUAAGAUUUUUUGUGAGAGUAGCUGAAGUAGAAUCAAUAGAGACCCCGAGAGCUCUGAUUAAGCAUAUUCAUACCUUUAGACAUAUUUUUGUUAGACAGGUUGAAGUAAGAGAUUGAAGAAUUAGUUUGGUUGAAAGGCAAACAACAAAAAGACAAAUCAAAAUAGCUAGAUCUAGAAUUCCAAGAUUACUAAAAUACAAUUCAUUGACUUCACAACUCCUUUAAAUACCGAAAGUGCUCACUUUUUAACAAAUCUAAAUGGAUGAAAACUACUCAGAAGAACUUUUAAGAGAAAAUUUCAAGCCUACUCCAAACGUAAAGGGAUCGUUUUUAUCAUUUUCUUGACUACCCACAUCAUGUUACUAUGCUGUCAAUAAAGUUUAGCAAACAAGAUCGUACCUUUACUCAGGCUGAAGUUUAGCUACAGAACCCUUUGUUUGAGAAAUGAUGCUGAAAAGUGGCAAAGAGAACAAACUAUUGGAUAAAAAAGAAGUGUAGUUGAAAGACCAACAACAGAAAGAAGAAUCAAAAUAUACAAUUCAUUAAUCAAUUGUUAAUUCUUCUGCUAGGAAGUAAUUGGUUACUUGAAAGGCCACCACCAGCAUAUAAAUAAGAAUGAAAUAUUAAAAUACAACCCUUUGGCUUCUCAAGUCUUUUUUUAAUCAAUUAUUUGCAUCUCUCUUGUCUUUGACAAUAUGUGACCUGUAAAAUACUAAUCUAAUAGAAGCACAGCCAAUUUUUAGACAAGUAAAACUGUUGAAAAUGAUGAAGAUAAAAACAAGUGCUUGCCAUUUUAUAUAAGUUCAUUUGAGAAUUUCAUCAAACACAUUGUAGACAUUGUCAAUUUCCACUACAAAAAUUCAAUUAGUUGCUUGUUACUUGGAUGAUUCUGAGAUCUGCCAAUUAGAAGCAGAGUUGGAAGGAAUCUAGCCAAUAUUUAUACAAUAAAAUGUUGAAAAUGACAAGGAAAAAAAAACAAUAUCUACUUAAAUAUUCAGAAAUAGUUCAUUUGAGACUUUCAUCAACCAAAUUACAGACAUUGUUUAGCAUUAACAAUUUCCACUACAGACAUUCUGUUAUAGAAUGUAUAUAGAAUUCAUUCCUAGUUAAGUACAUAGCCAUAUUUAGACAAUAGAUUUGUAGGAAUCGUCUUUUAUUUCUUUCCCAAGUUAGCACACAAUCUAUUGUAAUUAUACAUUGCUUACCCAUUGAAAUAAGACAACUUCUUCCAUCUUGAGAUCAAGUCCACGCUCCAACUGGGCCUGACAUAAAGGCGGGGUUAGAGUGGGUUGGAUUGACAACCUGCUUAUAAGGACUUAGACAAUCCUCUCUUCAUGAGCUAACAAAUAUUGUGUAAGAAGGAAGAACUUGUUGUUCUCCGGAUUUUUCCCUUUUUUGCACCCCACAAUGAAAUUCCUAGUGUAAUUUUCAUUUUUUUCUAGAAUUGUAUUCCGAAAUCGUAUUUGGACAUAGAAUUAUUACAAUUCUCCUCCGAAAUUUAACUUGAAUAUUCCAAAAUUCAAAAAAAAAUCCAAAUACCUGUUUUCACAUUUUCCGCUCCAAAUCACUCACAAAAAUUCAACAUUUUCUCAAAUUAUAUUCAAUUUUUUUAUUACUGUGGUGUUCGGACCAACUUUCACACUUUGAUAUGCUGAUAUUUGAACCUGAGACCAAAUGGUUCUCAUUUCUCAGUCACUUCAUGGACCAUUAGGUCCACACUGCUGGGUGCCAAGUUAUAUUCAUGUCCAAACAUCACUCGGCCAUCCAUAUACCAUUUUUCAACAUUGUCUUUUUUUUUUCCUUCUAAUUUCACAUUUUUAAUGUUCAAAUGCUCACUUAUACUCUGCUUGUUUAUUUCAAAAAAUUCCAACAGAUUUGAAUUCCAUUUGCAUAAUGUAAUUGUAAGGGUCAAGGCAUACACUUGAUAUUUUCUCAAAAGUAAAGACUUGAUACACAUAAUUCUUCAAAAAGAGUCACAACUAAUUAACUAACAAGUACAUUACAACACCAUUUUCAUCAGAGGAACAAAUUUAACAUGCUCAUAAUAUUACCCAUCCAAAAACAUAAUAGUAUUUGUUACUACUAAUCCCUCGGUCAAGGGAAAAAUUGAUGGUGUAUGAGCUUCAAAAGCCUUCUUCAAUAACCUUUAUCUCCCAUGUUCCGUCGACUACAACCAGCAUGCUAAAAAUACACAAGGGGCUUGAGCAAGAAAUUGCGGAGAAAAUGAUCAACGUAGAACUGAUACUUGCAGUUUUUCCUAUACAGAAUCCAUGGAGCAAUUCCUUGUUCUAUAUGAUGUUGAUUCUGAUGCAUCUCCAUCAACGGUUCAAACAAAAUCAGGCAUGUCGAACCUCCAUCCUGCCAUUGUCCUGUAUAUGUAGAGUUUCUCAACAGGGAAACUUUCUGGCCUCGUAUCCGGAUGACCGCUCUCAUCUAGCAGCUUACAUUGUUAAAAUUUGACAAGAUUCAAAGAUGAAUUAAUGUGAGGAUUUGGUAGUUAAGAAGAUAAUUCCUCAUUGGUACAAAAGUCAAGAUAGCACCUUUUGUAGGUGAAAUUUAGGUGAACCAUAAAAUGGUUUCACAAGGUAAAUCUUGACAUUUUGACAAAUUGUGAUGUCAUGGAUGACAUCAAUAGGAAGAAUUCACUCCUAUAAAUAGGUGGCUCCUAAUUCAUUUGUAACACACCUCUCACUUGCCUUCUCAUCUUCAAAGGCAUUUGUUCUUCUUUCUCUUGUAGUAUUUCACUUGUACUCUUUUGGAGUGAAAUAAAUAUUGGUUGGUUGUGUCCGAGGAGAAGGCAAAAGAAAACAAAAUUUUGCCGAACCUUGUAAAUUUCUGGUGUUUCUUUUGUUGUUGUCUCAUUUACUAUUUAUUAGUUACCUUUAGAUAUAGCAAUUGUGAUUUCAUCACUCUCUAUAUAUUCGGCUUCCGUAACAUACAUGUGUCAUGACUUACUGAACAAGAAGACAGCCAAAUAUAUCGCAUCGUCUCCAGCCUUGCAGCAUUGACCAACAGUGCCUUUUUGACGAAAGGGGAGUCUCUGGUCUCCACCUUACAAAGGCUUUCAAAACCAGAGAGAAUGUCGUGAAGGCCUAGAUAACAUUCCCCGCAAAAGCUACGAAGAGCAUCUCUAGCUUCUUAGCAUGAGCCGGGGCUCCGAUGUAAUGGAAGCGCGAUCCGUAAGGAGGCCAGAAAGGGAAAGUCAUUGCAAACUUGCAAUCCCUUGCAGUGGUGAGUGAUGGCCCCAAAACCAGUAUCCAGCAGUCCAAGGGUUAGGUAAUCAGGAGUUUGAGGCUUGAGUAAACACAAAUGAAACCGAAUCAAGUUAAACCAGUUCCUUGCAAUUGUAACCAAGGGGGCAUUUGUCAUUUGGCAGCAGAAGUAUAGAACCAAGUGGAGCCAGCUUGAGAUAGCUCUGUCAAGGAUACAUUCAGUUCUUGUGCAUAAGGAAAUACCCUUAUUAAGUCCUUACAAUAGUUGGCUAUCUCCUCAAGACCAAUAAUCUUGCACCUGUAGUCACAUUCAGAUGCAAAGAUUAAAACUUUUUUCACACAGCAGUACUCAUGAAGGUAGAUGAUUGAUAACCAUGACAAGUUUUUCUAUUUUAUUACAAAUGCAGUUACUGUAUUGAGUCUUGAAACUAUCGACACACAAAUCUAUACAAAAGUUAAGCUGAGAUAUAGGAUAACUUUCAUAUAGAACAGAAGUUGCAAACCUUUUGUAUUCUUUCCCAUCAUAGCAGAGAGUUCUUGGAAUACAUAUUCACCACAACAGAAAAAAGAAUUGUAACCAUCUUCUUUACAUGUGAUCUGCAAAUAAAAUUAAACUGGUCAAAGUAAUUGGAAAAAGAAAUACUUCAACUAGCAAAUGGAUACGUUGAUUUGAAUUUUGAAAGCUCUAUGUCGACGCUUUUGUUGGAAAAUUUAGUACUGUUAAACUCUUCAAAUAUAUUUCUCAAAUAUUUCUACUUAGUAUUCACAAACAGACUGUUCAGUUUGGACUUUCAUCAAACACAUUGUAGACAUCUUUUAACAAGAAUCAACAACAAAAGAAUGGAGACGAACCUGUUCACAUAUAAUGCUACUUAAAUUACGGGAUAUUCUUCCUGCCAACAACUUGAAGCUCGUCUCCUCCCCUCAUAUCUUCAGCGUAUUCCUUAAUCUUCAUAGUGGAAUCUUCAAGUUGAGGGCUCUCUACAAGUUUGAUAAUUUUGAGUGACCAAAUAUCCCCAAAACUAGGUGGAAUCUCCUCAAGCUUACGACAUCCCUCCAGUUUUAAUUUCUCAAGCGCGGGAAAGGAUUCCUCUCCAACCUCCCACUUAGAAAGAGUCACUUGACGUAACUUCAAACAUUUGAGAUUCUCAAAGGUGUCUUCCUCCUCCAUGUUCCUUUCUUCCCCCUCGAUGAUUGUAUCAUAAAGGGACAGCACUUCAAGGUUGGGCAGUCUCGCUAUUGUGGAUAGUGAAUCGGAUGCCAGAUGAAAGUCACCCAACGACAAUUUUUUCAAACUCGAAGGGAAGUGAAAAUCCCAUGGCCGAUUUAUGGCUGCAGAGGACCCACUGUCAUUUGUGUUUGAUCUUUCAAAACCUACAUUGAGGCCUUCUAGUUCAGUUAGGAAAUCCAAUUUCGGGAACCAAUAUUGCUCUGUUGAAUAAUCCCAUGAUUCCUUGAGAACAAAUGAAAGAUCUUGAAUAUUGGGAAACCUUUCGAAUAUAUGCUCUGCAUCCAUAUCAAAGAAAGAACAACCAGUCGUGAUGAGCACUCGCAACUUUACAAGAUCCCAAAUUCUCGGUAAUAGCAUCAAUUCUUCGUUAAUUACCAACAAGGUUUCUAGAUUCCAGAGGUUUGAGAAAGAUAAAGGCAGAGAUUCAACUUCUGUCCCAAUGCAUAAGAACCUCAAAUGAUUCAACAUGCAUAUUUCAUGCAGCAAAGAAUCUUUCACCUUGAUAAAAGAGGGAUUCAGGUACAACAAUCUAAGAAGCCUCAAGUGUCUUAGGUGAAAUGUAUCAGAAAGACGGUCAUCCAGCUGGUCUCCAUAUAUGGUCAAAGAAUAGAGGUGUCUACCAGAAUGCCUUUUCUUAUUUGAACCGAAGAGGACAAAAUUAAGCCCAAAGUGCUCCUCGUCAUCAUUAUCAAUGGUAAUUUGACGUGACAACAAAUCUGAUGGAGCACUUGAACUUAUCAAAUUAAACAACUUUUCUUCUCUGGCUUUUAUCAAACAGAAGUCAUGCACAAGAUCAUGAAGUUGGCAAGUUGGGUAACCACCUAUCUCAUUGAAACAAAUUACCAAGCUACUGGAAAUUAAAUCAUCCAAAUAAAUCUUCACCACUUCUUCCAUACUCCUUAUUUCCGUCUUUUCCACAAACCCUUCAGCAACCCAUACAUCUCUUAGCUCAUCGAUUUUCAUUGCACUGUCCUUUGGCCAACUUGCAAAGCAUAGCAAGCAUGGCUUCAGAUGAUCAGGUAAGUGGUCAUAACUUAUUUCUAUAACUUUCGUCACUUCAUUCUUGAAAAUAAAGGAAUGCAAAUUAUUUACAACUUCAAGCCACACACUCUUUUUCUUUUCCCUCACAACAAUGACUCCAGCAAUCAGAUCCACCACCAAAGGAAGCCCUUUACAAUUUUCGGCUAUUUCUUUUCCAAUAUCCAAUAGUUCAUUAGGGCAACUCUCGUUUCCAAAUGCCCUUUUCUCUAAUAACUCCCAACUUUCUUCUGAUCUUAGCAAUCGAAGGUUAAGAGGAUCAGUGUAGAGCUUUCCAUACAAAGCCAC
rnacentral:lncRNA from 1 species